AUAGCAAUACCAGCGACAAAUAUACUUCAGCAUCAUUCUUGUUUCAUAUCUCAUGAAACCAGGUGAGUGAUACAGGCCCUCUGGGCCUCUUGUUAUAAGUAGUCUGUCAGCAAUUCCAUUCUAGGACAUAUCUCAAAAACAGUAAGGGUAGAUGUUUUCAAACUUCGCAUGAUUUUAGCCUUAUUGAUACAGAAAUGUGAAAUAUGGGUUUGUUUUCAAGAUCAAGGUUACUGUUGUGAUAACUAGAAUAUGUGGCCUUUCUAAUCUAUUUUGUAUUUGUUCUAAUAUGUGUCCAGUCUCUAAUAAAGGUCUCACACAACAAAUUAUUUCACUAUAUGUUAUUACCAAGGACUCAAUCCCCUCAAUUGCUCAUUUAAAGUUCAAAUGAUGUGAAAUCUAUAUCAAAUUAAAGUUUGAAGAUUUCACUACCUGAAAAAUAAUGUAAAUGGCAUAUAAGAGCACACCAAUACAUUGUACAUGUACUUGGAAGACAGUAACCCUGAUCAUGGUUUUGACCAAAACAUUGUCAACACAGAGGCAACUGUCGCAUUUGCCUUGAAUUCCUCAAACCCCAGGAUCUGUGGGGUAUUUGCAGAAAUACACCUGUAAUCAAAUUUUGGUCAGAAUUAAACAAGGUAACAAAGUUGACCAAGCAUCAAGGUUGCAUGGUUAUAGCUAGGUCAAAUCACCAGGUGAAGGUCAAAUUUUGUACCUUUUCACUGAUAAACAUUUUGUUAUAACAAUAUAAAAGGAGUCAUCUGAUCUUUCAAGGUUACUGGGUCAAAGGUCAAGGUCAAAUUUUGUAACCUUAUUUUCGCUUAUGAACAUUUUGUUAUGCUGCAACGAUACGCUUCCCUCACGGUACGAUACAUAUCACGGUACAUUUACAGAGUGCCCCAUUAGUUAAUUUAUUCUGUCUGAAAAUUGGAGGGAUACAAACAUAAAUCCAGGGGUACUAUCACAAAUUCACUAAUUAGGUUACUAGUAUUUGUACAAGUUUAGCCAUCACAUUACAGCUGUAAUUAUAAAAAAUGUUAAUAAAGUUUAAUUAAAAUAAAAUACUCUUAGAAGCUUUGACAUGUUUAUUAUUAUCAGAGACCUAUAUACUAUUAGUACAACUGACACAUUGGGUUAAUAUAUGUUUCACAAUUUUUUUAAAUCUUUUUCUUCUUAAAUCAUCUAAUUUAAAUCUGGAAUUAUUUUGUUUUCAAUUAGAAUUCUAUUCAAUUUCAAAUUGAUCUGGGCCUGUUUGUUUAUGUGGACAAACCGGUCCGUCAGUAUUCAAAUGUAAUAUUUCAAACAUAAUACUGAUAGUAACGUUAGGCCUAUCGUAAAGGACUUGCAAAUACAUGUUAAUACUACUGCUAUAACAUUAUAUAAAAUUUAAAUGAGAGAUACAAAUUACUGCGCUGCGAGAUGAAAAUACCGUGAACCGAACCGUGCCAUUUAUACCGCGAUAUAUACCGUACCACGGAUUACCAUUGCAGCACUAGUUAUGACAUCGUGAAGCAAAGUUUGUCAGAAUUCAAAAGGAGUCAAUUGACAAAGAUAAAUUCACUUGGUCUGAUUAUUGGGUCCAAAGCUCAAGGAUUGAUGAUUAUGGGAGAUUAUAGCCAUAUGACGGGGCCCUUGUUAACCUGUCAGCAUUCUCAUUAUCACUAUAUUUGGAGAAGUACUGAAUGGAUCAAAUCCAAUACAGUAGGCAAGAUGUUAUCUAUGUAAACCAAAGAUCUGUAGAUUAAUGACUAAUUAUUUUGUCAUUCCGGUGUCAUUAAUUUGCGCAAAGGCAAGAAAAUCAGGGUCUCACAUCUCUGGGCUUUUAACUGUACAAUAAAAAUCCUCUCAUCUGUCUGUCCAGAUUUUGACGUUAGCAUUAUUGUUUCAAGGUCACCAGAUCCAUAGGUCAAGUGUUCAAAGAUCAAGGUUCUGGUGCCCAGAGAAUUCGGCUGUAUUUCUGUCAGGUGUGGUAACUAAUGAGUUUACCGAGGAGCAACACCCCUAUAACUUGAACAGAUGAGCUAGUCUUCACUGGUGAGAAUUAUCAGCUAUCAGGGAUGUACUAGACCUGAUUGUGCCACCGCAGGAGAGGUAGCUACUUGGACAAAGACAUCUGUCUUAUCUGGAUCAAGGGCAUGAGGUUUCCAGUGUUGGAAUGUGGUGAUCAGAGGUAUCAAAAGUAUUCAGAUAUCUGACUCCAUUGGUAUCUUGUACAUUUGACAUCCAUCACUUACUUCUCUGGGCAAUGUGUUUUCCGCUCGCUCCGCCGGAAUCAACUUAAGUGUCAUCACAGUCAGAGGCACCAUCUAUCUGCAGAGGAAGGGAGUUUCCAUAGUGUAGCUGGGAGAGAGCUAUGGUACAACACAAAAUACAUAGACCCAAGGGGUAAACUUAUAGUAAGGGUUUCAGUAUGGCCGUACGUAGGGAGGAGGCCAGUGUCCACCAUCGAGUGUAUACUAUAGACUAUAGGUCAGUGCUCACCUCGCAGACAGUUACUGUGGCCUGGGACCACGAGGAGGUGGUACCUCUUGGUCGUGGCCAGGUGAUUAUUUGGGACCAUGUCCAUUGGCUUGAUGGUGGUGCUUCUGGGUCAUGGGAACACGGUGACAUGUACAGGACGCGGGAAACCUAUCGGCUGAUGGAGUUAAUAUAUUUGCAGAGUAAUUCCUAUUUAUUCUGUUUGGUGUGAAACUGAUUCAUGAAUUGCUUUUUUUUUUAGUAUAAUGAUUUCAGUCCUAACUAAAUGUAUAUUUAUCUGAGUGAAUUCAUGAAUAUGAUUGUAGUAAUUAAUUUGAUCCAUAUUUUUAUACAGUAUACAUGUAAUAUUUUGUUUCAUCAUCUUUAUUAUUGGCACAUUAUUGGAUUGUUAUGCAAGUACCAACUGGGAAUUUGUGUGUUCAUUUUACUUUUAAGAUGAUAUUGUAGUUUUUAAUGAAUUACCAAACUGUUGUGGUUUAGUGAUUGCUCCAAUUUGCGAGAGUUUUUCCUAUAAAAAAGUUGUUUGGAUUUAUCUUCAAACAAUGGAAAAUUGUUUUGUUUUGUUGAAAAUGUUUGGUGUUUAUUUUUGGAUACAUUUGUAUGAUUGGAAUUUUGAUGGUUGAAAUCAAAUGACUGUUUUGUAUUCUGUUUGUAUGUAUCGAGUUAGCAUAUGAUUGUAUGGUGCUAGUGUGAUUAUUAAUAAUAUAUGUUAUCGAUGGUUUUUAGGUCACCUGAGACAAAGUCUCAAGUGACCUAUUCUAAUCCCCUUUUGUCCGUCGUCGUCCAUCGUGCGUCGUGCGUCCGUUAACAAUUUACAUUUUCGACUUCUUCUCCAAAACCCCUUAACCAA